UACGGAGGGGGCUAGCGUUACUCGGAAUCACUGGGCGUAAAGCGCACGUAGGCGGACUUACAGGUCAAUUGUGAAAUACCUGGGCUCAACCCAGGAACUGCAGUUGAAACCGUUUGUCUUGAAUACCUGAGAGGGUGGGGGAAUACCUGGUGGAGAAGUGAAAUUCGUAGAGAUCAGGUGGAACACCGGAGGCGAAGGCGCCUGCCUGGCAGUGUAUUGACGCUGAGGUGCGAAAGUGCGGGGAGCAAACAGG
rnacentral:rRNA from 1 species